rnacentral:rRNA from 1 species
CAGUAGCCACGGGAACACGUAGGGUGCGAGCGUUAAUCGGAAUUACUGGGCGUAAAGCGUGCGCAGGCGGUUCGUUAAGACAGAUGUGAAAUCCCCGGGCUUAACCUGGGAACUGCAUUUGUGACUGGCGAGCUAGAGUAUGGCAGAGGGGGGUAGAAUUCCACGUGUAGCAGUGAAAUGCGUAGAGAUGUGGAGGAAUACCGAUGGCGAAGGCAGCCCCCUGGGCCAAUACUGACGCUCAUGCACGAAAGCGUGGGGAGCAAACAGGAUUAGAUACCCGGGUAGUCCCUGUCUCUUAUAC